GGUGGCUCAGGGGUAGAGUGCUUGCCUUGCAUGCAUAAGGCCCUGAGUUCGAUUCCUCAGCACCA
rnacentral:tRNA from 1 species